CUUACCUUCUGGCCAGAGUUUACUAUUCCUGAACUUAACUACCUCGAUAUUAAUCCGAUGUCGUCAUCUGAACGAGCUUAUCGAGCCGACAAGUGUGCCUUCUGGAGCACGUAUGAACCAAAACUCAAGCAAUUUGCAGCUGACAUGUCCGAAACAGAAGAAUUAUGGAGGAACGAUUACUACAGCUGGAAGUUUAAUGACCUACCUGAAUGGCAGAAGGCUUUCAAUGAUUACAAAGCAAACAAAGUCUGCACCUAAAGGAUACAAAAACUUUAAAUAAUAUGUAGGUCUGUGCCUAAAUUUGAGAAUAUAUUUAAAGGAAGACUGCGAAUCAAAAUACUUACAUACAAAUACUAUAGUUAUUAAUACAAAUUGUUGUAAUAUUAACGUACUAACAACACCACAUGUAUCGUACGGUGGAUUUUUAUUUGGUAAUAGAGACUAGACUUAAUAGGAAUGUGUUAAUAUAUCACAUCGAGUAAGCAAUAGGCCUACUAGAGUUUUAUAAACAGUGGUUCAACAUUUAGUGAUUUUACAUUAUUAUAACUAUUAUUAUUAUUAUUAUUAUUAUUAUUAUUUAUUAAUAUUAUUAAAGCUUAUCAUCCUUUAAAAGGGCAAUAACCUACCAAUUAUGAUUUUGGGAAUAAAAAAUGUUCACCAUUGACUAAUAUAAAGUAUGAACCAACGUACACGUUGUUAAACUUGUAUAUAUUUUAUUGAUGUUUCACGGUAUGUAAUAAUAAUUCACCUUUGAGUAAUUGUGUCGUAAUUACUUUCCAAAAAGAGAAGUAAAAGUGAAUGUGAACAUACAAUUAAACUAUGAACGUACAAUUUCCUAUGUAAAGCAGCGGUUAAUAAUAUGAUUUUUAGCCAAUCAUGAAUUUGAGAAAGUUCUUCAUUUAUUGUUUGGCAAAUUGCAUCGUCAUUGUUUGAUGCAUAAUAUAUGAUAGCAUCAUCUGCAAACAUACUUAAUUUACAUUUCUUUAAAAUUUUUGGUAAGUUAUUUAUGUAUAAUAAAAAGGCAAGCGGACCAAAGAUUGAACCAUGAGGCACGCCACAUUGGAUUAGUACACUCAGACAAUGCAUAAUUUACACUAGUAAACUGCUUUCUUUCCGUAAGAUAUGGUAACUUUAAAACCAUUUUAUUGUAUAUUCGUUGAGACCAUAUAGGCCAAAUUUUUAAAAAUAAAAUGACAUGCUUUUUUUGUCUUUAGUGGGGUCCUCCCACACUUA